rnacentral:rRNA from 1 species
GACGAACGCUGGCGGCGUGCUUAACACAUGCAAGUCGAACGGAAAGGCCCUGCUUGCAGGGUACUCGAGUGGCGAACGGGUGAGUAACACGGGGGUGAUCUGCCCUGCACUUCGGGAUAAGCCUGGGCAACUGGGUCUAAUACCGGAUAGGAGCCAUUUUCAGCGGGAUGGUUGGAAAGUUCUUUCGGUGUAGGGUGAGCUCGCGGCCUAUCGGCUUGUUGGUGGGGUAAUGGCCUACCAAGGCGGCGACGGGUAGCCGGCCUGAGAGGGUGGACGGCCACACUGGGACUGAGAGAAGGCCCAGACGCCUACGGGAGGCAGCAGUGGGGAAUAUUGAACAAUGGGCGCAAGCCGGAUGCAGCGACGCCGCGGGGGGGAUGGCGGCCUUCGGGUUGAAAACUCCUUUCGCUAGGGACGAAGCUUUUUGUGACGGUACCUAGAGAAGAAGCACCGGCUAACUACGUG